rnacentral:rRNA from 1 species
UACGUAGGUGACAAGCGUUGUCCGGAUUUACUGGGCGUAAAGAGCGCGCAGGCGGUCGAUCAAGUCGAGUGUGAAAGCCCCCGGCUCAACUGGGGAGGGUCGGCUGAUACUGCCGUUCUUGAGGGAUGCAGAGGAGACUGGAAUUCCCGGUGUAGCGGUGAAAUGUGUAGAGAUCGGGAGGAACACCGGUGGCGAAGGCGGGUCUCUGGGCAUCUCCUGACGCUGAGGCGCGAAAGCGUGGGGAGCAACGGGG